UACGAAGGGUGCAAGCGUUAAUCGGAAUUACUGGGCGUAAAGGGUGCGUAGGCGGUUAUUUAAGUCUGCCGUGAAAUCCCCGGGCUCAACCUGGGAAUGGCGGUGGAUACUGGAUAGCUAGAGUGUGUCAGAGGAUGGUGGAAUUCCCGGUGUAGCGGUGAAAUGCGUAGAGAUCGGGGGGAACAUCAGUGGCGAAGGCGGCCAUCUGGGACAACACUGACGCUGAAGCACGAAAGCGUGGGGAGCAAACAGG
rnacentral:rRNA from 1 species